CUCGAUUUGGCCGCCGCACCCAAAAAUCGCGCCAGCCUCCUCCGUCCCGUCCGCGCCGCCCAGCCUCCUUCCUCCCGUCUGCCACCGCCAGGCAGCCGCCCGCCGCGGCCCCCUCCCCCGGGAUCCACCGCGUGGCACUGCCCCCCGCCGCCCGCCAGGCAACCCCGCCGGCCAGGGCACUGCCGCCCGCCUUACAUCAACAAUCUCUCCUUGAUUUCUGUUCUGCUCGAGAGAGGACGGAUGGAUUCUUGCUCCGUCAGACCGGAGCUGCAUCUUUUCUGAUCUGAACAAAUUUGUUCCCACUGUGCUCUGUGCAGCGGCAAGGCUCGAUGAUUUGUGAUCGAAGGGAGAGAUGCUGCCGAGGGAUCCGGCGAGUUCGCCAUCAGCGAUGGGGAGCCCGCUAUUGCGCCCAAGAGGCGGCGUCAAGCCUGAUGGUCUCGCCUAUCUCAGGCGGCCGCAAAGGUGUUCGUGGGAAUGCUUCUCAAGUCGUCCACUCCUUUUCAGGCGCCGUCGCAUCGCUUAACGACUCCAGUCUCAAGUGCACAGUCUAGAGGAAAGCAUGUCCGUGAUUAUCAUGAUCAGAGGAUACGGUAAUUCACGCACCAGAUUCCCUGGGGUUUUUGGGACAUUUUCUGAUGCUGCACCAGGUUUUGUUGCUCUGUUUGAGGUGUAAAUUUCUGCAUCAUUUCGUUGUCGUAUCAUUGCCUUGGGUCCUAUAUGAUCACUGAACUAAGGAUAAACCUGGACGGUGGCAAAAUAUUGUUCAGCGCUGUCAUAUGAUAGUUGCCAUUUCAAAUUCACAUCAUUCUUAUAUUCUAAUUAGAACACUAUGCAUGUUGACAAUCUUGCAUUCAGACAUGAUGGUUACUCGAUUGAAAAUGAAGGAUGCAUUUUCUUGUACACGGCCGCAAGCUACCUGAUCUGUGGUUUCUUAACAUGAGAACCAAAAAAAAUGGGUUCCAUUGUUACUCCAAUUUUUUUAUGGCAUGUCGCCUUCAGUGUGAAUAAUCAAUAAUCCAGAAUCAAAGAUGGAAUCAAUUGCCCAACCGAUGCUGCUGGGAACCAGUGAUGUCUUUAUCAUUUCACAUGGUGGCAGUUGAGAUAUCAAAGUCCAUAUCAUCAGAAAUGGAACACGCCAGGAAAUGAAAUACCUAAUGGUUUAGUGAUUCGGGGAUGUGAGUUGGCUAUGUAUGGUCGUUUGCUAUUUUGUUUAAGUACUCAGGCUCAUCGAGUACUCAGUCAAAGGUGGAUGGUGUCAAUGGAGGCCGGUUAUUUUGCACUUUGUAGGCUGCUCCACUCUUUUGUUAAUGAAUGAGCGCUUCUUUUGAUGGCUGAUGAAGAUUGAUGGUGGUGGUGGUAGCUGCUGCACUUGUUUAGCGCUGUUAUGAAUAUGUUGCACGGCUGCUAUGACCAUGUUAUGUGGUUGUUGUAAAUAAGUUAUAUGCUUAUGAACAAGUAGUUAUGAACAAGUUAUGUGGUUAUUAACAAGUUAUGCCUUGACGAACAAUUUAUUAUUAACAUGAU